rnacentral:rRNA from 1 species
UUGUUGGUGAGGUAAUGGCUCACCAAGGCGUCGACGGGUAGCCGGCCUGAGAGGGUGACCGGCCACACUGGGACUGAGACACGGCCCAGACUCCUACGGGAGGCAGCAGUGGGGAAUAUUGCACAAUGGGCGCAAGCCUGAUGCAGCAACGCCGCGUGAGGGAUGACGGCCUUCGGGUUGUAAACCUCUUUUAGCAGGGAAGAAGCGAGAGUGACGGUACCUGCAGAAAAAGCACCGGCUAACUACGUGCCAGCAGCCGCGGUAAUACGUAGGGUGCAAGCGUUAUCCGGAAUUAUUGGGCGUAAAGAGCUCGUAGGCGGUUUGUCGCGUCUGCUGUGAAAACCCGAGGCUCAACCUCGGGCCUGCAGUGGGUACGGGCAGACUAGAGUGCGGUAGGGGAGAUUGGAAUUCCUGGUGUAGCGGUGGAAUGCGCAGAUAUCAGGAGGAACACCGAUGGCGAAGGCAGAUCUCUGGGCCGUUACUGACGCUGAGGAGCGAAAGGGUGGGGAGCAAACAGGCUUAGAUACCCUGGUAGUCCACCCCGUAAACGUUGGGAACUAGUUGUGGGGUCCAUUCCACGAU